GCCUCGGUGGUGUAGUAAUAGCACGCGUCCCUGGCAUGGGUGAAAGGCGGGUUCAACUCCCGUCUGAGGUC